CGGGCGGUAAACGUCUGGUCACAGUCCCAGGCCGCUCCUCGCCCCGAGGCCCCGCCCCCGCGAGGAGGCGGGCCGGGCGCUUAAAUCGUACCCGGCUGCGAUGGAGUCCGCCCCUGGCCGCCCAAGCUCGGAGUUAACCCUUUCAUGUUAUCAUCGCUUUGGAGGGAAAGAAAAAAGCAUAUUAACAAGAAGGAUGUGGGGACUUCCCUGGCAGUCCAGCGGUUAAGACUCCACGCUUCCACUGCAGGGGGCAUGAGUUCAAUCCCUGAUCCAGGAACUAAGGUUCCACGUGCUGCAAGGUGUGGCAAAAAAAAAAAAAAAAAACCUGAA